rnacentral:rRNA from 1 species
CCUACGGGUGGCAGCAGUGGGGAAUAUUGGACAAUGGGGGGAACCCUGAUCCAGCGACGCCGCGUGAGUGAAGAAGUAUUUCGGUAUGUAAAGCUCUAUCAGCAGGGAAGAAAAUGACGGUACCUGACUAAGAAGCCCCGGCUAACUACGUGCCAGCAGCCGCGGUAAUACGUAGGGGGCAAGCGUUAUCCGGAUUUACUGGGUGUAAGGGGAGCGUAGACGGUGCAGCAAGUCUGAUGUGAAAGGUCGGGGCCCAACCCCGGGACUGCAUUGGAAACGGGUGAACUGGAGUGCAGGAAAGGUAAGCGAAAUUCCGAGUGUAGCGGUGAAAUGCGUAGAUAUUAGGAGGAACACCAGGGGCGAAGGCAGCUUACCAAGCUACUUCUGACGUUGAGGCACGAAAGCGUGGGGAGCAAACAGGAUUAGAUACCCGGGUAGUC